rnacentral:rRNA from 1 species
GCUCUCUGCUAAAGGUUACUGAAGUAUAGAGGGUGAAUUCUGCCCAAUGGUUGUAUAGUGAAACUGAGGACUAACGUCUAAAGCGAAACCCAACUGAAUGGCCGCGGUAACUCUGACCGUGAUAAUGUAGCACAAUAAAUAGCCAAUUAAUUGUUGGCGGGUAUGAAUGGAACCACGAGGGUCUUACUGUCUCAAGAGGAAAGCCAAUGAAAUUAUAGUUGUAGUGAAGAUACUACAUAAACAUUGUAAGACGAAAAGACCCUAUCGAGCUUUACUGGAUACCGAUAGCGUUAACUUAAAAUGAUCGAUACUAAGUAUCCUAAUUUUGAGUUAAUAAAAUUUGUUGGUAGGACAGUUUAGUUGGGGCGACUACCUUUGAAUAAGAAACGAAGGCGAGCUUAUGGUAUACAAAGCUAAUCUCUUUAGCCUGACAGUGAGGGGGACACCCCUAGCUGGCACAAGGACUAGGUCCUAUGUGGGCGAUAAUGACCCGAUAUGAUUGUCCAAAAUAAAUAUCGAAAGCGGAUAAAAGCUACCGUAGGGAUAACAGCGUAAUAUUGUCGGAGAGUUCUUAUCGAGGACAGUGUUUGCGACCUCGAUGUUGAAUUGCGGUGCCCUGGUGCUGUAGAAGGUACCUUAGGUUGGUCUGUUCGACCAUG